UCGAGCUUUGCGGCAAGCUGAAACGCCAGUGAAAGAAAGCCUCCCUCAGCAUCCUAGUACCUCAGUGCGUCGUAAAUAGAAACUAGUGAGCAGACAGAGAAAUGGCGGCUGAAGGAGGUACUCCAGGAGGUUUAGCCCCAGCAGAGCCCCAAACAGGACCAGAUGGGGAAAUUAUUGGGGGACCUCGCACACCACAGCAGAUCGCUGCACAGCGAAGAUUGCAACAGACUCAGGCCCAAGUCGAUGAAGUCGUGGAUAUUAUGAAAACAAAUGUCGAAAAAGUUCUGGACAGAGACGCAAAGUUGUCAGAAUUAGAUGACAGAGCAGAUGCCCUUCAACAGGGUGCGUCACAGUUCGAGCAACAGGCAAAGAGCUUAAAAAAUAAAUUUUGGUUACAAAAUUUAAAGAUGAUGAUUAUAAUGGGCGUGAUUGGAAUUGUUAUCAUUGGCCUAUUAUUCGGUGAUAACAUUAAACAAAUGUUUGGUUAGUUCGAUACCGUGGCACACCGACUAUGACCGGCAUCAGUCCAGGCGUAGCCGGCAAUGCUACCGCAGCUGUUACUAAUAAUUGAAAAUACAUGUAAUCAUUAAACGCAAGAUCUAAACUUCGAUGAAGAUGUGUAAUUACAAUAAAUUUUGUAAGCAUUUAAUUUAGAAAUUUAGUGUAGAAAUGAUUGCAUGAAACGGCAGUUGCGUAAAAUUCAAACUUUACUGUUUGUCUUACUUGAAAGUCAAAUAACCUUACAUAAAAUAAAUUAAGAUAACGAACAUUAAUUAAAACGUUUAAUCCAAUAGUUAAACUACUAAAAAUAAUUUAAAUAUUUAAAGAUAUAUUAUUUAAUAAGAUUUCAUAUGAAAAUCUUUGAAUAUAGGUACCAUUUACUAUACGUAUGUUCAAUUUCAAAAUUACUAAUAUUGUGAAAAGUGUAUAAAAUUUAAUAAAAUUAAGUGUCAAAUUAAAAAUUGUCAGGCUAUUCAUUAAUUUUAGCUGUUAAUAAAAAUUUCAGUUAAAAUCUGCGAUAGAUAAAUUAUUUUGCGUGCCUUGUCUUUAUUAGCAUUUUUAGAAUCAUAUUGAAUACUAUAAUAUUGUAUUCAUGUAUGUUAUGACGAGAGUUUCACUAUCGGCCUACGAAUCUAGUGAUUUUAGAUAUUUGUAUUUUAAUGGACUGAAAUCGAAUUGCUAACAUAACAAUUAAUCGGCUAAAUUUAAACGUACGUAAUAUUCAUACCACUUGAAAUUCAAAUAUCAAUUAUAGGAGACUUCACAAUUUAGAAUGAAUUCUGUAAAGUCUACCUUUUAUAGGAUAAAAAAAAGAAGAAAUUAAACUUAUAUACUUAUAAUAGUACAUUAUAUAACUAUGGUUAAUUAUUAAAACAAGUUUACUAUUAGCAUUUUUGUUUUAUAGCCAGAGAAAAGAGAUAUUAAAAGCUCUUAUAAUUCGUGAUUAUAUUUUCAACGUGAAAAAUCUUAGCCGAUAAAAUGUACACUUACUUCGAUUAAUAGCCGUGCUUUUUAUAAUUCAAUUGAUUAUUUAGUAAUCAUGUAUGAUGCAAAAAUGAAUAUGUUUUGCAAUUUAAACACCAAAAGAAUAUAGUUUUAGAUUUAUGGCAUUGAGUAGUUACUUUAAGGAAAUAUCUGUUUACUUAAUAUUUCGGUUUUAGAACUUAUUGGACUGAGAAAGCGUACCGCAGAGGGUUUUUUUAAUUGACAUACGAUCGAUACAAUUUUAAUUUAAAUACGAUCUGAAAUUAAAAGCGCGUACGAUCGUGUGAGCUUCUGCACGAUACUACGCGCGGCGUGGGGGAGUUAAUGCAAUACAGUAAAGUCGCACAUAUUGCUUACCAGAGCAUACGUGCGCGGACACGAACAUGUGAGCAGUAUGGGCCUGUAAAACCCAUGCGAACAUGCUCUGCACUACGCUUCGCCAGAUGUGCGCCAGCCGUUAGCACAAUAUAACGAUAAUGAUUUAUUUAAUUGCAACGAAAUUCAAAAAUAUAUUUAUUAAUAUUAAUGUAAUGUAAUGGCUUAAAUUUGUAAUAGAUUUCUUAUUUUAAUAUUGGAUAUGUCAAUUAUUUUUUAAAUUAUAGUAAACUGCUAUGUUGCCUAAUUUCUUAGCAUAUGUGUGUCAAUUUUAAUUAAUAAAAAUAUGUAUGUGAUGUUCAGUACAUUUGAAAAAGUUGGUUAAUACGUAAUAAUUAAAAAAUAACAAUCUUUUGUUAUUUCUUCGCCCUCUCAGCUACUAUUGUCAUAUUUGAAAACUUGGGAUAACAUCCUAAAAAUUAAUUAACCAAUUUUAUCGAAUGAACUCAACACGCUUACUGAAAAGAGUUCGGAAAAACGGGUGAAAUUUGGUAAGAAAAUAUUGUAGGUAGGUACUUACAGUUUUUUUAAAUUUCUUAUUUAGCAAAGGAAUAUAGAAUAUUAAAAGUCCGUUAGGCUCAAGUAAUUAUUUAUAAGCAGAUAUUUAAUUGCAGCAAAUUAAUGCGUAGUAUAUAAUAUUAUUUAAAAUCUAUGAAAUAAUGUAUGAAAAAUGAUUUAAAAAUAUUGCUUAUAGAAUAAGUUAUAACGUACCUACACCUACAGGAAAUGAUAUGGUGCCACUGACAAUAUUAAUUCUUUUAUCGUAAUUAAAUGGAUGUAGAGACGAAAUAUUAUGUAUAUAUAUAUUACUUACUUAUUUGUAGUCAUACUCCUACUACUAUCGCUUAAGACUUUAACAAUGAUUAUUAUUAAUGAAAAAAGAACAAUAAUUAAUUAUAGUUUUUAUUUAAAAAAUAUCGGCCAGUCUUAAUCUUUUUGAGGUUAUUUU